GCCAGGUGUGGUGGCUCAUGCCUGUAAUCCCAGCACCUUGGGAGGCCGAGGUGGGUGGAUCACUUGAGGUCAGGAGUUCCAGACCAGCCUGGCCAACAUGGUGAAACCCCAUCUCUA
rnacentral:sRNA from 1 species